AGCAGCCGCGGUAAUUCCAGCUCCAAUAGCGUAUAUUAAAGUUGUUGCAGUUAAAAAGCUCGUAGUUGAAUUUCGGGAUCAAUAUGUCGGUCGUGCCUCGGUACGUACUGGCGUAAUUGGUUUCUCCCUUCUGAAGAACCUCGAUGUCAUUAAUUUGGUGUCGUGGGGAAUCAGGACUGUUACUUUGAAAAAAUUAGAGUGUUUAAAGCAGGCUCGCGCUUGAAUACAUUAGCAUGGAAUAAUGAAAUAGGACGUUUGAUUCUAUUUUGUUGGUUUCUAGGAUCGACGUAAUGAUUAAUAGGGAUAGUUGGGGGCAUUAGUAUUCAAUUGUCAGAGGUGAAAUUCUUGGAUUUAUUGAAGACUAACUACUGCGAAAGCAUUUGCCAAGGAUGUUUUCAUUAAUCAAGAACGAAAGUUAGGGGAUCGAAGACGAUCAGAUACCGCCGUAGUCUUAACCAUAAACUAUGACCGACUAGGGAUCGGAUGAUGUUGAUUUUUUAANGUACUCAUUCGGCGCCUU
rnacentral:rRNA from 1 species